UCGUAACUAGGUCUCCGUAGGUGAACCUGCGGAAGGAUCAUUA
rnacentral:rRNA from 1 species